AAGGUUAUUUUUCCACUUAACGUUACGAUAUAGCAAAAUUAGCGGUUAAACAGUAUAAUUUAUGACCAACACCAUUACAAAGAUCAGAAUAUAUGAUCAUAUUUCUUUAAUUAUUAUUGACUUCAAAGUUUGACUUUGAAGCUAUUUGUAAAUAAUGGUUAUGCGCUCGUAAAGGCUUAUUGGCAAUCAAUAGUCAAAUAGAAUAUAAAAUGCUUAGUAGAAAAUAUAAGUAAGUUUAUUUCUUCAGAGACAAGUCCUCAAUGAUUGAAACGCUACAUCAAUCUGCAAGAGGGAAACGAUGUUUAAAAAAAUAAAAAAAGACGAACUUACACAUAC